GGGUUGUGAGGUUAAGCGACUAAGCGUACACGGUGGAUGCCCUGGCAGUCAGAGGCGAUGAAGGACGUGCUAAUCUGCGAUAAGCGUCGGUAAGGUGAUAUGAACCGUUAUAACCGGCGAUUUCCGAAUGGGGAAACCCAGUGUGUUUCGACACACUAUCAUUAACUGAAUCCAUAGGUUAAUGAGGCGAACCGGGGGAACUGAAACAUCUAAGUACCCCGAGGAAAAGAAAUCAACCGAGAUUCCCCCAGUAGCGGCGAGCGAACGGGGAGCAGCCCAGAGCCUGAAUCAGUGUGUGUGUUAGUGGAAGCGUCUGGAAAGGCGCGCGAUACAGGGUGACAGCCCCGUACACAAAAAUGCACAUGCUGUGAGCUCGAUGAGUAGGGCGGGACACGUGGUAUCCUGUCUGAAUAUGGGGGGACCAUCCUCCAAGGCUAAAUACUCCUGACUGACCGAUAGUGAACCAGUACCGUGAGGGAAAGGCGAAAAGAACCCCGGCGAGGGGAGUGAAAAAGAACCUGAAACCGUGUACGUACAAGCAGUGGGAGCACAGAGCAAUCUGUGUGACUGCGUACCUUUUGUAUAAUGGGUCAGCGACUUAUAUUCUGUAGCAAGGUUAACCGAAUAGGGGAGCCGAAGGGAAACCGAGUCUUAACUGGGCGUUAAGUUGCAGGGUAUAGACCCGAAACCCGGUGAUCUAGCCAUGGGCAGGUUGAAGGUUGGGUAACACUAACUGGAGGACCGAACCGACUAAUGUUGAAAAAUUAGCGGAUGACUUGUGGCUGGGGGUGAAAGGCCAAUCAAACCGGGAGAUAGCUGGUUCUCCCCGAAAGCUAUUUAGGUAGCGCCUCGUGAAUUCAUCUCCGGGGGUAGAGCACUGUUUCGGCAAGGGGGUCAUCCCGACUUACCAACCCGAUGCAAACUGCGAAUACCGGAGAAUGUUAUCACGGGAGACACACGGCGGGUGCUAACGUCCGUCGUGAAGAGGGAAACAACCCAGACCGCCAGCUAAGGUCCCAAAGUCAUGGUUAAGUGGGAAACGAUGUGGGAAGGCCCAGACAGCCAGGAUGUUGGCUUAGAAGCAGCCAUCAUUUAAAGAAAGCGUAAUAGCUCACUGGUCGAGUCGGCCUGCGCGGAAGAUGUAACGGGGCUAAACCAUGCACCGAAGCUGCGGCAGCGACGCUUAUGCGUUGUUGGGUAGGGGAGCGUUCUGUAAGCCUGUGAAGGUGUACUGUGAGGUAUGCUGGAGGUAUCAGAAGUGCGAAUGCUGACAUAAGUAACGAUAAAGCGGGUGAAAAGCCCGCUCGCCGGAAGACCAAGGGUUCCUGUCCAACGUUAAUCGGGGCAGGGUGAGUCGACCCCUAAGGCGAGGCCGAAAGGCGUAGUCGAUGGGAAACAGGUUAAUAUUCCUGUACUUGGUGUUACUGCGAAGGGGGGACGGAGAAGGCUAUGUUGGCCGGGCGACGGUUGUCCCGGUUUAAGCGUGUAGGCUGGUUUUCCAGGCAAAUCCGGAAAACUAAGGCUGAGGCGUGAUGACGAGGCACUACGGUGCUGAAGCAACAAAUGCCCUGCUUCCAGGAAAAGCCUCUAAGCAUCAGGUAACAUCAAAUCGUACCCCAAACCGACACAGGUGGUCAGGUAGAGAAUACCAAGGCGCUUGAGAGAACUCGGGUGAAGGAACUAGGCAAAAUGGUGCCGUAACUUCGGGAGAAGGCACGCUGAUAUGUAGGUGAAGUCCCUCGCGGAUGGAGCUGAAAUCAGUCGAAGAUACCAGCUGGCUGCAACUGUUUAUUAAAAACACAGCACUGUGCAAACACGAAAGUGGACGUAUACGGUGUGACGCCUGCCCGGUGCCGGAAGGUUAAUUGAUGGGGUUAGCGCAAGCGAAGCUCUUGAUCGAAGCCCCGGUAAACGGCGGCCGUAACUAUAACGGUCCUAAGGUAGCGAAAUUCCUUGUCGGGUAAGUUCCGACCUGCACGAAUGGCGUAAUGAUGGCCAGGCUGUCUCCACCCGAGACUCAGUGAAAUUGAACUCGCUGUGAAGAUGCAGUGUACCCGCGGCAAGACGGAAAGACCCCGUGAACCUUUACUAUAGCUUGACACUGAACAUUGAGCCUUGAUGUGUAGGAUAGGUGGGAGGCUUGGAAGUGUGGACGCCAGUCUGCAUGGAGCCGACCUUGAAAUACCACCCUUUAAUGUUUGAUGUUCUAACGUUGACCCGUAAUCCGGGUUGCGGACAGUGUCUGGUGGGUAGUUUGACUGGGGCGGUCUCCUCCUAAAGAGUAACGGAGGAGCACGAAGGUUGGCUAAUCCUGGUCGGACAUCAGGAGGUUAGUGCAAUGGCAUAAGCCAGCUUGACUGCGAGCGUGACGGCGCGAGCAGGUGCGAAAGCAGGUCAUAGUGAUCCGGUGGUUCUGAAUGGAAGGGCCAUCGCUCAACGGAUAAAAGGUACUCCGGGGAUAACAGGCUGAUACCGCCCAAGAGUUCAUAUCGACGGCGGUGUUUGGCACCUCGAUGUCGGCUCAUCACAUCCUGGGGCUGAAGUAGGUCCCAAGGGUAUGGCUGUUCGCCAUUUAAAGUGGUACGCGAGCUGGGUUUAGAACGUCGUGAGACAGUUCGGUCCCUAUCUGCCGUGGGCGCUGGAGAACUGAGGGGGGCUGCUCCUAGUACGAGAGGACCGGAGUGGACGCAUCACUGGUGUUCGGGUUGUCAUGCCAAUGGCACUGCCCGGUAGCUAAAUGCGGAAGAGAUAAGUGCUGAAAGCAUCUAAGCACGAAACUUGCCCCGAGAUGAGUUCUCCCUGACUCCUUGAGAGUCCUGAAGGAACGUUGAAGACGACGACGUUGAUAGGCCGGGUGUGUAAGCGCAGCGAUGCGUUGAGCUAACCGGUACUAAUGAACCGUGAGGCUUAACCUUACAACGCCGAAG
rnacentral:rRNA from 1 species